rnacentral:rRNA from 1 species
CUGCUAUCGGGAUAGGACUAAGACAUGCUAGUCAAGCGCUUCCCAGCCAAAGGGAAGUGCGGCGCACAGCUCAGUAGCACGUGGCUAACCUGCCCUCAGGAUAGGGACAACCCCGGGAAACUGGGGCUAAUCCCCAAUAGGUGAAGUGCUCUGGAAUGAGCCUUCGCCAGAAAGGACGCUUGCGCUAUGCUCGCAGGCUUUGCCUGAGGAUGGGGCCGCGACCGAUCAGGUUGUUGGUGAGGUAAUGGCUCACCAAGCCUUUAACCGGUGCGGGCCGUGAGAGCGGGAGCCCGGAGAUGGGCACUGAGACAAAGGCCCAGGCCCUACGGGGCGCAGCAGUCGCGCAAACUUUGCAAUACACGAAAGUGUGACAGGGCUAUCCCGAGUGCCGUCCGCUGAGGAUGGCUUUUACCUAGUCUAGAAAGCUGGGGGAAUAAGGAGAGGGCAAGUCUGGUGUCAGCCGCCGCGGUAAUACCAGCUCUCCGAGUGGUGUGGAUGUUUAUUGGGCCUAAAGCAUCCGUAGCUGGCCAAGUUAGUCCCCUGUUAAACCCACCGAAUUAAUCGUUGGUUUGCGGGGGAUACUGCUCGGCUAGGGGACGAGAGAGGCAGACGGUAUUUUCGGGGUAGGGGUGAAAUCCUAUAAUCCCGGGAAGACCACCAGUGGCGAAGGCUGUCUGCUAGAACGCGCCCGACGGUGAGGGAUGAAAGCUGGGGGAGCGAACCGGAUUAGAUACCCGGGUAGUCCCAGCUGUAAACGAUGCAGGCUAGGUGUUUGGACGGCCACGUGCCGUUCUAGUGCCGCAGGGAAGCUGUUAAGUCUGCCGCCUGGGGAGUACGAUCGCAAGAUU